rnacentral:lncRNA from 1 species
UCAGACUGUCUAGCUCUAGCUAAUAACACAGCAUAGUAGGCUAUUGGUUGACAGACAGCCGCUGAUCACAUCACCACCAGCCAGGGACAUCACUAGACAUUAAUGGAUGGGGGGGCUAAGCCUCUUUUAGGGGGGUCUGACAUACUCCCUCCGGUCCGUUUAUUGUUAGCUAGCAGUCUCAAGCCACAGAAGUAGCUAACGUGAACUUAAACGUUGCAUGUACACUAGAUAGUGGUAAACCGCUGAGGCCGCCCAUUGUGACUCGCUUGUGGACGUGCUGGCAGCAAAUGGCAGCAUGUUUGAUUGUACGUCAAGAAUUCAGCACAGCAAGUUUGUAUGAAGAUCUGGUUAUUAAAGGGGUACAUAGUUCAAUAGUAAUAUCCUCUAAAACGCUCUGGUGACUAACAAACUGCUGCCCUGUUUCCAAUUAUCCACAUGGCUGGCAGAACCUAUUCAACUAAGUUAUAUCAGCUGUGUCGGUGAACCCCUCCUGCAUCUGAACUGGCUACAUAGGGGGCACAGCAUGAUCAGAUUUGAGAGGUCACUUGGUCAGGUCAACAGGAAGUAUUAUUAAAGAGAUGCUUUACAUUGAAAUACAGAUAGAUAUGUUUUGAUGUGAGAGGAUGCCAACCCCCAGUCUCAUCUCGCCACCUCACCUGCUUUUAAGAACCUUUGGGCCGACGAGAGACACUAUUGUGUAAUUGUGAUGAACUGAGAGAAUAUUUAGGUAGCACUGUGAUUCAUUAAUCAUGUGCUGCCUUCCCUGCUCCUAUGUGCUUACCUCUUUCCCUUUCUGUCUUUUACACCUCUUUCUUCCUCUGUUUUUAUAAUGCACAACACAUGUGCAUUGAAGUACAGAUUGAACUUGUAUUUAU